rnacentral:rRNA from 1 species
GACGAACGCUGGCGGCGUGCUUAACACAUGCAAGUCGAACGGAAAGGCCCUGCUUUUGUGGGGUGCUCGAGUGGCGAACGGGUGAGUAACACGUGAGUAACCUGCCCUUGACUUUGGGAUAACUUCAGGAAACUGGGGCUAAUACCGGAUAUGAGCUCCUGCUGCAUGGUGUGGGUUGGAAAGUUUCGGCGGUUGUGGAUGGACUCGAGGCUUAUCCGCUUGUUUGUGGGGUAGUGGCUUACGAAGGCUUUGAGGGGUAGGCGGCCUUGGAGGCGUGACGGGGACAUUGGGACUGAGGGACGGAGCAGAAGGCUACGGGAGGCAGCAGUGGGGAGUAUUGCGGAAUGGGGGGAAGCCAGAGGCAGCAACGCCGGGUGCGGGAUGACGGGCUUCGGGGUGUAAACAGCUGUCGCCUGUGACGAAGCGGGAGUGACGGUAAUGGGUAAGGAAGCAACGGCUAACUACGUG